GCUCAGCUGUGUCCGCAAUGAAUGGAGUGCGUGCUAGGCACCAGGGCAGACUGUAGUAACAGCGGGGGCGUGUGUGUACACACGCACGCAGAGACCGACGCACAACCGGCCCUACGCAGGCAGAAACGCAGAUAUACACGGACCACGUGCACGUGCACGUGCACGCGCGCGCGCGCACACACACACACACACACACACACACACACACACACACACACACACACACACACACACACACACACACACACACUGAAGCAGACAGGCGGGGGCAGUCACAGACGCAGGGAGGGGCUGGCAGACGGGGCACAGACAGCUGUGAGACUGACACAAGCAGCUCCCUCCCUUCCACAGCCCCUUGUCUCUUUCCUGCUCCCCUUUCACUCUUAAAAAGUUGUUCCUGCACAGCCUGGAAACUGCAGACUGGGGAGAGGGAAGGGUAAAGGUGGAAAGAUAGCGGGGAGGAUGCAGGGGUGGUGAUCAAGGGCUGGGGCGGACGGGGCACCUUUUUGUAACCAGCACUGGACUCCUCCAAGUCGGGCCCCUCCUCAGCACCACUCUCGCCCUCCUCAUCCUUGACCUGGAUGCAGUCCUCCUCCUCCUCCUCCUCCUCCUCCUCCUCCUCCUCCUCCUCUCCCUCCUCCUCCUCCUCCUCCUCUUCCUCCUCCUCCAGGUCUUCCUGUGUGCUCUCACUCUCCGUGGAGCCUUCUCGGGGUAUGGCCAGGGCCCCCUCCCCCAGGAAGGCCUCCUGCUGCUCUGUCAGCUCCUCCUCUGUCUCCUCGGGGUGGGUGGUGGGCUGCCGUGGCAGCUCCCCAGUCUUGGUGAGGAUCUAGGAGCAGAGCAAGGAGGCACGUCAGCUGGGAGGGGGCGCAGCUGUGCAGCCUGCGGCCCAGGAGGUUCUAUCCUUCCCUCCUCUCUCCCCGGCAGACAGCCGCCCAGCCCAUACAGACCUUUGAUGUGAAUCAGAAAAAGGCAAGGCGGCUCCUCUGAUGCAGCCUGGGGAGUGGCCUGGGUGUCAGCCCCCUGCCAGCCCCCUGCCAGCCCGGCACCCUCCGUGUCCUGACCCCAGCACGGCCCCAGAUGUUUGCUUCUCCCGGCUCACCUUGCCCAGCUGCAGCUGCUGCUGCUUCUGCUUCUCUAGGAACUGCUGGUGCUGCUGCUGCAUGACCAGCUGCUGCAGGGCCUGGGGGCUCUGGGGCAGCGGCGAGGACUGAGUGCGGCUCAGGGGCCGGUGCCGAGGGAGCUUGCCCACCGUCCGCAUGCUGGUGGCCACGCGCUCACCCGUCACCAGCGGGGACUGCCCGUGGAGCGGCACUGUGGAGGUGGUGCGGGGAGGGGAGUAACCAUCACUGUCAGGGCACCAGGCUCCCACUCCCACCCCGAGACUCUCCCCCUUCUGGAACAGCACCGCCUCCAUACUCAGGAGAAACCCGCGAGGGGCCUGGAGCACCCUGCCCCCAAACCUGAACCCCAUUCUUCCUCCUCCCCACAACUGAACAGUCUCGCAGCUCAGAGCCACCACCUCCGGCAAGACGUCCUGGAUUCACUUACGAGCACGUAUAGUCUCGGGCCCUCCGUGUGCAUGAACAAUGACUAGUUCUCCCCAACUGCAAGACCUCCCUGAUCAUGGACGUGGAUCCCACCCAGCUGGGAAGCCUGGAGGCCAGGAUCACGUGUCUUUUAAGCAGAACCUCUUCUGAUGCCACCAGCUACUUAUGGGCUGACUGUCCAAAGCCGCGCUGUCCAAUCCCAUAGCUGCCAGCCACACGUGACCACUGAGCACUUGAAACAUGGCCUGUCUCAACUGAGAUGUGCUCUAAGUGUGAAAUACGCACCAGGUUUCAAAGACGCACUGCUCUGGAAUGUGAGCUCCAUUACGACGGCAGAGUUCGGGAACAGUGCCUGGCCGGCUGUAGGUACUCAAUAACGUCUGUAGAAUACGGAAGAAAUCAAUGAUGCCAUGGAGGGGAGCUGUGACAGGCCUGCUCUGGGGGAGGGCCAUCUGAUCUCCAUCAGGACCCUGGGAGGACAACAGCCCAGCCGGGGACAUCCAGGACCGAAGACCUCAACACCAGAGGGAGGACAGGGAUGAGCAGCUGCUGCUCCAGCCGCUGCUUCUCCAGCUCCUCCUGCCGUUGCUGCUCCCGCUGCCGCUGCUGCUCCAGCUCCUGCUGCCUCUUGGCUGCCAGCAUCUCCUGCUGCUGCUGCAGGGGCGCAGGGGGAGCGAGGCAGGGUGAGCCGGGUCUGGGCGGGGGUCAGAGGUCUGGGUGGCCCCCCACCCCCGCGCCCUCCCUCGCUCACCUUGAGGUGCUUCUGCAGCUGGACCUCAUGCUGCCGGGUCAGGUGGUCGUGCUGUUUCUGGAACUCAGCGAACAGGAGCUGCUUCUGCAGCUGCUGCUGCUGCUUGAGCGCCAGGAGCUCCUGUUGUAGCUGCUGCUCCCGCAGCGCGGGGUCCACGGGGCCUGCCAGCGCACCCCGCAGCUCCACGGGGCUGGGGCUGCCUCCUCCCCCGCCCCCCAUGGAGCUGGGCAUGGCUCCUGGCAGCACCGGCUUCACCUCCACUGCGGGGAGAAGAGACAGGCAGGGGUCAGUGGGCCAUCCCAGACCCCACCAGGCCCUGGCUGCUAUGCCUGGGGCCCAGAAAGCUACCAGGCAGGACUACUAGACCCAAAGAGAAUGGGGGAGGGGGGAGUCAAACCCCUCUGCUCUGUGGAUACAACCUUCUGCCUUAAAUAGAUGAGAUCGAAGCCAUGAACUUCACUAAGAAAACGUGCAGGGCUUCCCUGGUGGCGCACUGGUUAAGAAUCCACCUGCCGAUGCAGGGCACACGGGUUCGAGCCCUGGUCCGGGAAAAUCCCACAUGCCGCAGAGCAACUAAGCCCGUGCGCCACAACUACUGAAGCCCGCGUGCCUAGAGCCUGUGCUCCGCAACAAGAGAAGCCACCGCAAUGAGAAGCCCACGCACUGCAAUGAAGAGUAGCCCCUGCUCACCGCAACUAGAGAAAGCUCGCAUGCAGCAACGAAGACCCAACACAGCCAAAAUUAAAUAAUUAAAUUUAUUAAAAAAAGAAAAAAGAGAGAAAACAUGCAUAAGCAAAGCAGGGUACCUGGAAGAUCACGAGUGUUCAACGAAGAAUAUCGUCAUUGAUAGUUAAGGCCACUGGGCAUUUUAUGUGAGUUACUUUAGUGAUAAGGAAACUGAGGUUUAGAGAGGUGUAAGUAACGUGACCAAAGACAUACAGCCAGGUGAUCAAUGAACCAAGAUGUGAUU